rnacentral:rRNA from 1 species
UGGGGAAUUUUGGACAAUGGGCGAAAGCCUGAUCCAGCAAUGCCGCGUGUGUGAAGAAGGCCUUCGGGUUGUAAAGCACUUUUGUCCGGAAAGAAAUCCUUGGACUCUAAUACAGUCGGGGGAUGACGGUACCGGAAGAAUAAGCACCGGCUAACUACGUGCCAGCAGCCGCGGUAAUACGUAGGGUGCAAGCGUUAAUCGGAAUUACUGGGCGUAAAGCGUGCGCAGGCGGUUUGCUAAGACCGAUGUGAAAUCCCCGGGCUCAACCUGGGAACUGCAUUGGUGACUGGCAGGCUAGAGUAUGGCAGAGGGGGGUAGAAUUCCACGUGUAGCAGUGAAAUGCGUAGAGAUGUGGAGGAAUACCGAUGGCGAAGGC